ACGGACACAUCACGUUGAAACUCUGAUUCUCGUACGAUCACCGAAGUUAAGCAACGUCGAGCCAGGUCGAUACCUAGAUGGGUGACCGCUUGGGCAUACCAGCUGUUGUAA